AGGACUUGACAUCCUCUGACGGCUUUAGAGAUAAAGUUUUCCCUUCGGGGACAGAGAGACAGGUGGUGCAUGGUU
rnacentral:rRNA from 1 species